rnacentral:rRNA from 1 species
UGCGCAGGCGGUUUGCUAAGACAGGUGUGAAAUCCCCGGGCUUAACCUGGGAACUGCGCUUGUGACUGGCAGGCUAGAGUACGGCAGAGGGGGGUGGAAUUCCUGAUGUAGCAGUGAAAUGCGUAGAUAUCAGGAGGAACAUCGAUGGCGAAGGCAGCCUCCUGGGUUAACACUGACGCUCAUGCACGAAAGCUGGGAGCAAACA